CAAUGGCAGGUACAGAGGGAUGCUACCGGGCGACCGGAUGCGGAUCUCGAAAGCCUGUCCCAGUUCGGACUGGAGUCUGCAACCCGACUCCACGAAGUUGGAUUCGCUAGUAAUCGCGCAUCAGCCAUGGCGCGGUGAAUACGUUCCCGGGCCUUGUACACACCGCCCGUCAAGCCAUGGGAGCCGGGGGCGCCUGAAGUCCGGGACCGCGAGGACCGGCCUAGGGCGAAACUGGUAACUGGGGCUAAGUCGUAACAAGGUAGC
rnacentral:rRNA from 1 species